GAUGAACGCUGGCGGCGUGCCUAAUACAUGCAAGUCGAGCGAACAGACAAGGAGCUUGCUCCUUUGACGUUAGCGGCGGACGGGUGAGUAACACGUGGGUAACCUACCUAUAAGACUGGGAUAACUUCGGGAAACCGGAGCUAAUACCGGAUAAUAUUUCGAACCGCAUGGUUCGAUAGUGAAAGAUGGUUUUGCUAUCACUUAUAGAUGGACCCGCGCCGUAUUAGCUAGUUGGUAAGGUAACGGCUUACCAAGGCGACGAUACGUAGCCGACCUGAGAGGGUGAUCGGCCACACUGGAACUGAGACACGGUCCAGACUCCUACGGGAGGCAGCAGUAGGGAAUCUUCCGCAAUGGGCGAAAGCCUGACGGAGCAACGCCGCGUGAGUGAUGAAGGUCUUCGGAUCGUAAAACUCUGUUAUUAGGGAAGAACAUACGUGUAAGUAACUAUGCACGUCUUGACGGUACCUAAUCAGAAAGCCACGGCUAACUACGUGCCAGCAGCCGCGGUAAUACGUAGGUGGCAAGCGUUAUCCGGAAUUAUUGGGCGUAAAGCGCGCGUAGGCGGUUUUUUAAGUCUGAUGUGAAAGCCCACGGCUCAACCGUGGAGGGUCAUUGGAAACUGGAAAACUUGAGUGCAGAAGAGGAAAGUGGAAUUCCAUGUGUAGCGGUGAAAUGCGCAGAGAU
rnacentral:rRNA from 1 species